rnacentral:rRNA from 1 species
UGGGGAAUAUUGCACAAUGGGCGAAAGCCUGAUGCAGCGACGCCGCGUGAGGGAUGACGGCCUUCGGGUUGUAAACCUCUUUCAGCAGGGACGAAGCGCAAGUGACGGUACCUGCAGCAGAAGCACCGGCUAACUACGUGCCAGCAGCCGCGGUAAUACGUAGGGUGCAAGCGUUGUCCGGAAUUACUGGGCGUAAAGAGUUCGUAGGCGGUUUGUCGCGUCGUUUGUGAAAACCAGCAGCUCAACUGCUGGCUUGCAGGCGAUACGGGCAGACUUGAGUACUGCAGGGGAGAGUGGGAUUCCUGGUGGGGCGGUGGAAUGCGCAGAUAUCAGGGGGAACAACGGUGGCGAAGGCGGGUCUCUGGGCAGUAACUGACGCUGAGGAACGAAAGAGUGGGUAGCGAACAGG